rnacentral:rRNA from 1 species
UACGGGAAGGGCAAGCGUUAUCCGGCGUGACUGGGCGUAAAGAGUCCGUAGACGGUAAAGUAAGUUUAUUGUUAAAUAUUAAAACUUAAAUUUUAAUAGAGCAAUAAGUACUGCUUUACUUUGAGUUUAAAUAUAGAAAAGUAGAAUUUUAAUAUGGUAGGGGUGAAAUCCGUAGAUAUAUAAAGGAAUGUCAAUAGCAGAAGGCAACUUUUUGGUUAUAAACUAGACGUUGAGGGACGAAAGUGUGGGGAGCAAACAGG